ACACACACAUCACACAUAUCACCCACACACAUAUCACACACAUAUCACACGCACACACAUAUCACACACAUAAGACACACCCACACACACAUCAAGCACAUUCCACACACAUCAAACACACAUCACACAUACACACACUCACACAUACACACAGAUACAUCAUACACACAUACAGACACACACACACACAUACACAGACAAAGACACAUCACGCACACAUAGACACACACACACACACAUCACACACACACAAAUAUCACACACACAUCACACACACACACAUAUCACACACAUAUCACACACACACACACACACAUCACACACACAUCACACACACACACAUCACACACAACACACACACGUAUCACACAUACACACACACACAUCACACACACACAUCACAUCAUACACACACAUCACGCACACACACACUACACACACACACAUCAAACACGCGCAUCACACACACAUACACACAACACACACACGUAUCACAUAUACACACACAUAUCACACAGAAAUACACACAUAUAUCAUAUCACACAAACACAAACACACAGAAUACAGACACAUCACACACACACACAAAGACACACACACCCAAACACAUCACACACACAUCAGACACACAGAUACACACACACACACCACAUAUAUCACACACACAUAUAUCACACACACAAACACAUCACACACAUCACACACACAUCACACACACACAUAAGACACACCCACACACACAUCACACACAUCAAACACACAUCACACACAUCAAACACACAUCACACAUACACAUACACACACACACACACCUGACACACGCAUCACAUACACACACACACAUAUCACACACAGAGACACACACACACACAGAGACACACACACACAUCACAUACACACACAAACAUACACACACAUACACAUCACACACACAUACAUAUCACACUCAAAAACACACACACACACACACACACAAAGACACACACACAUCACACACACACACAUCACACACACACACAAAUCACACACACACACAUAUACACAAAAAUCACACACACAUCACACACACACACAUCACAUCACACACACACACACAGAGUUACACAUACACACAUGACACACACAGAGACAGGGACACGCAUAAUGUCACACAUAUUACAUACACACAGAUCACAUCACACACAAAUUUCACACAUACACAGAUACAAACACACACUGGACACACACAGAGACAGAGGCACGCAUCACAUCACACCCACACAUCACACCCACAACACACACACACACAUCACACCCACAACACACACACACACACAUACAUACACACACACAUACAUCACACACACACACACACACACACACGCACACACGCACACACGUCACCCACAUACACACACAUCACAUACACAUACACAUCACAUACACAUCACUCACACACACACACACACAUCACACACAUAUAUACACACAUCACACAUAUCACACACAUCACAUACAUCACACACACAUCACACACACAUAUAUCACACACACAUCACACACACACAUAUCACACACACACACACUUCAUGCGCACACACACACACACACAUCACACACACAUAUCACACAUACACACACGCAUCACACACACACACACACAUCACACACACACACACAUCACAUAUCACACACAUCACACACACACAAAUUACACACACACAUAUACACAAAAAUCACACACACACAUAUACACAAAAAUCACACACACAUCACACACACACACAUCACAUCACACACACACACAGAGAUACACACACACACACACAAGAAACACACAGAGACAGGGACACGCAUCAUGUCACACAUAUUAUGUAACACCCUUCUAAAAUACCCCCAAAUAUUUAAUUAAAAUAACAAUAUCUCAAUCAGAGUAAAUAUGCAAUUAAGGGUGUCACACAAUAUUUCACACCAUUCAACAAUAACUGUCAUGCUCUUUUAUUAAUUCAAAACAUAAGCAUUUUUUGCAUAAAACGCAGCGGAUAUAAAUCUCAUCAAUCAUGUAAAACAUGUAAUAUGUUGCAUGUAAAAUUAUUCAAUAAGGUAAAACAUCCCGUCCCGAUGUUACAUCUAUCAGAGCACGACCCACUAAGGAGACUACACUAGACUCCAAGCACUAGCUUCUACUCAAUCACUGCUCGUUGAUAAGAAAAUAAUAUAAUUAUUUAAAUUGAGUUAAUAAAUAUUUAUUAAUUUAAUUAAAUAAUGAUUAUUAUUUAUUAUUGGAAUAAUAAUUAUUGAAUAUUAUUGGGAUUAUUAAUUGGAUUCAUUUUUAUUGUUAUUAUUGGAAUAAAAGUAGAAAUCAGUAAAAGGUUCCAUUUGGUAAAAAGAGUUAUUUUCACGUGAAAAGGGAAAAGAGACAGAAAAGUGGAAAGGGCAAAGAAAGCAGAGAACAAGGUUGAAGGAAGGAAAAGCUGAAGCUCAGAGAUUUGCCGAUUAACAGGUAAGGGGGGUUUAUCGUCGAUUAAUGGGUAUUAUGGGAUAAUAUGUCAUGGGUAGUGAUAAACCAUUGAUUUACUCUGAUUGGAAUAAUUAUGCUGAAAAUUGUGAACUUUUGGGAUGAACGAAUCUGGAUUAAAAUUGAGGAAAUUCGUAGGAAUUAGAUGCAAUAGUGUUAGAAAUUGUGAGAUCGAAUAGGUUAUGAUUCGUGUUAGAUGAUAUGAACGAUUAUUGUGAAAAAUUGGACUGUGGAGUUUGAAUUGGAUAGAUCUCGUAGCAGAGAAAGCCAUAGCAGAUCUGGAAGUCUGGUUUCUGGUCAUACGCGUAUGGCACAGGCAAUACGCGUAUGAGAUGGUCUGGUACGCGUAUGGCACUAGGCAAUACGCGUAUGGAUGAGGAAGAUGAGUUUUGAACGUAGUUUGGUCUCUGUUGGUACGCGUAUGGGGAAGUGAUACGCGUAGCAUACGCGUAUGAGAUGGUGUUACGCGUAUGGGAUUUGGUCAGGAGAUGGGCCAUACGCGUAUGAGACUAGGCAAUACGCGUAUGGGCAGACUUGUGAUUUUCCUGAGCUGUUGUUGGCAGUUUUUAGCUGUUCAGCUGAGUAAUGUGAUUUAGCUGAUGUAUGAUAUUAGGGAUCAUUCCCGUUGUUUUGAGUAGUAUAGGUAUUAGUAGAGUGUGCUAAUACUGUGGUUGUUAUUUGGCAUGAUAUGAUAUGCUUAUGUGAUAAAAUACUGAUGAUGUGUGAUGGUAUGCAUGAUGCUGUGAAGUAUCGUUAUGUGUGCAUUUGUGAAUAGACGUUUUAUGGCUUAGAGUGUGAGCAUAUGUCUAUUCUUGAAUUGUUGUUGAUGAUGUAGCAUUGCUAGGUGAUUAGCGUGCAUAGUAGGCCUUUAUGGUGGUAGCUAAUUCCAUGGUGAGGAAUUAGUGAUGAGUUAUUGUGGAUGUUGUUGAUGUUUGUAUGCUAGGUGAUUAGCGUGCAUAGCAUGGCCCUUGGGGUGGUAGCUAAUCCAUGGUGAGGAAUUAGUGAUGUGAGUCACUAGGUCUCAAAUAAAUGGGACUAUGAGCUUGGUAGCCGUACCUGGAUUGGUCGGUGAGGUUUGAACUAUAUGUUCACGAAUAGUCGGUACCGCAUGCAUGGAGUCUCAUUGCAUUUGUAUUGUAUGGCGUAUAAUAUGAAUGGAUGUAUUCAAUAUUAUACGUGUGUUUGUGGUUGAGUUGAGUAUGAUUUUAGUUGAUGUUGCCGCUGCUGAAUGUAUGAUCUGAUUAGAGUGAUGAAUGUGUGAAAUUACUGGCAUUACAUGUUAAUUUAUAAUGCUUAUUAUAUCGAUUGAGAAAACUCCCCUUACAACUAUUUUUCAGGUNNNNNNNNNNNNNNNNNNNNNNNNNNNNNNNNNNNNNNNNNNNNNNNNNNNNNNNNNNNNNNAGAUGUGAUGUGUGCCUCGUGAUUCGCUGUGGUCGUCAUGUGAUGCGGUUUUAUUGGUUAUCGUGUGAAAUUUGUGUGCUUGAAGUGAUCUACUGUGUAUGUAAUAUGUAACACCCCGAUAAAAUAAGAUAAAUUAUUUAAAUUGAGUUAAUAAAUAUUUAUUAAUUUAAUUAAAUAUUGGAUUAUUAUUAUUAUUGGAAUAAUAAUUAUUGAUAUUAUUGGGUAUUAUUAUUGGAUUAUUUUUAUUGUUAUUAUUGGAAUAAAGAUGAUAAUCAACGUAAAAGUUCCAUUUGGUAAAAAGAGUUAUUUUCACAGUGAAAGGGAAAGAGACGAAAAGUGGAAAGGCAAAGAAAAGAGAGAACAAGGUUGAAGGAAGGAAAACGUGAAGCUAGAGAUUUGCCGGAUUAACUCAGGUAGGGGGGUUUAUCGUCGAUUAAUGGGUAUUAUGGGAUAAUAUGUCAUGGGUAGUGAUAAACCACUUGAUUUACUCUGAUUGGAAUAAUAUAUGCUGAAAAUUGCUGAACUUUUGGGAUGAACGAAUCUGGAUUAAAAUUGAGGAAAUUCGUAGGAAUUAGAUGCAAUAGUGUUAGAAAUUGUUGAGAUCGAAUAGGUUAUGAUUCGUGGUUAGAUGAUAUGACGAUUAUGUGAAAAAUUGGACUGUGGAAGGUUGAAUUGGAUAGAUCUCCGUAGCAGAGAAAGCCAUAGCAGAUCUGGAAGUCUGGUUUCUGGUCAUACGCGUAUGGCACUAGGCAAUACGCGUAUGAGAUGGUCUGGUACGCGUAUGGCACUAGGCAAUACGCGUAUGGAUGAGGAAGAUGAUGUUUUGAACGUAGUUUGGUCUCUGUUGGUACGCGUAUGGGGAAGUGAUACGCGUAGCAUCGCGUAUGAGAUGGUGUUACGCGUAUGGAUUUGGUCAGGAGAUGGGCCAUACGCGUAUGAGACUAGGCAAUACGCGUAUGGGCAGACUUGUGAUUUCCUGAGCUGUUGUUGUGCAGUUUUUAGCUGUUCAGCUGAGUAAUGUGAUUUAGCUGAUGUGAUGAUUAUUAGGGAUCAUUCCCCGUUGUUUUGAGUAGUAUAGGUAUUAGUAGAGUGUGCUAAUACUGUGUUGUUAUUUGGCAUGAUAUGAUAUGCUUAUGUGAUAAAAUACUGAUGAUGUGUGAUGGUAUGCAUGAUGCUUGUGUAUAAUUAUGUGUGCAUUUGUGAUUAGACUGUUUUAUGGCUUAGAGUGUGAGCAUAUGUCUAUUCUUGAAUUGUUGUUGAUGAUGUAGCAUUGCUAGGUGAUUAGCGUGCAUAGUAUGGCCUUUAUGUGGUAGCUAAUUCCAUGGUGAGGAAUUAGUGAUGAGUUAUUGUGGAUUGUUGUUGAUGUUUGUUGCUAGGUGAUUUAGCGUGCAUAGCAUGGCCCUUGGGUGGUAGCUAAUCCAUGGUGAGAAUUAGUGAUGUGAGUCACUAGGUCUCAAAUGAAUGGGACUAGUGAGCUUGGUAGCGUACCUGGAUUUGGUCGGUGAGGUUGAACUAUAUGUUCACAAUAGUCGGUACGCAUGCAUGGAGUCUCAUUGCAUUUGUAUUGUAUGGCGUAUAAUAUGAAUGGAUGUAUUCACAUAUUAUACGUGUGUUUGUGGUUGAGUUGAGUAUGAUUUUAGUUGAUGGUGCCGCUGCUGAAUGUAUGAUCUGAUUAGAGUGAUGAAUGUGUGAAAUUACUGGCAUUACAUGUUAAUUUAUAAUGCUUAUUAUAUCGAUUGAGAAACUCACCUUACAACUAUUUUCAGGUCGAGCAGUUGAGUAGAAGCUAGUGCUUGGAGUCUAGUGUGUCUCUUAGUGGGUCGUGCUCUGAUAGAUGUAACAUCGGGACGGGAUGUUUUACCUUAUUGAAUAAUUUACAUGCAACUUACAUGUUUUACAUGAUUGAUGAGAUUUAUAUCCGCUGCGUUUUAUGCAAAAAUGCUUAUGUUUUGAAUUAAUAAAAGAGCAUGACAGUUAUUGUUGAAUGGUGUGAAAUAUUGUGUGACACCCUUAAUUGCAUAUUUACUCUAUUGAGAAAGAGUAUAAAAAAAAUAAAUAUUUAAUUAAAAUAAACAAUAUCUCAAUCACGAGUAAAUAUGCAAUAUAAGGGUGUCACACAAUAUUUCACCACCAUUCAAAUAUAACUGUCUCGCUCUUUAUUAAUUCAAAACAUAAGAUUUUUCAUAAAACGAGCGGAUAUAAAUCUCAUCAAUUCAUUUGUUAAAAACAUGCUAACUGUUGCAUUGUAAUUUUCAAUAACGGUUAAACAUCCCGUACGAUUGCUUACAUCUAAAUCAAGCCACGGACCAUAGGGACUAAUAGAUCCAGCACUGCUUCUACUCAAUCACUGCUCAUUACCUGAAAAAUAGUUGUUAAGGGUGAGUUUCUCAAUCGAUUAUAAAAUGCUUAUAAAAUACAUUAAUGCCAAGUAAUUCACACAUUCAGCACUCUAAUCAGAUCAUACAUUCAGCGCGGAACAUCAACUAAAAAUCAUACUCAAACUCAACCACAAAACACCGUAUAUAUGGAUAAUCCAUAUAUUAUACGCAACAAUACAAAUGCAAUGAGACUCCAUGCAUGCCGGUACGACUAUUCGUGAACAUAUUAGUUCAACCUCACCGACCAAAUCCAGGUACGGUACCAAGCUACUAGUCCCAUUCAUUUGAACUUUAGUGACUCAUCCACUAUUCCUCACCAUUGGGGUAGCUACCACCCAAGGGCCCACUGCUAUGCCGCUAAUGCACUAGAUGCAAACGAUCUAACAACAAUCCCACAAUAAACUCAUCUAAUUCCUCCACCAUGGGAAUUAGCUACCACCAUCAAAGGCCAUUAUGCCAGCUAAUCAACCUGCCCAAUGCUAACAUUCAUCAACAACAAUUCAAGAUAGACAUAUGCUCACACUCUAGCCAUAAAGGCAUACAAGCACACAAACUGAACAUCAUAGCAUCUGCAUACCAUCAAUAUCAUCAGGUUUUUAUCACAUAAGCAUAUCAUAUCAUGCCAAAUACACAACCACAGUAUUACACAUCUACUAAUACCUAUAACUACUCAACAACGGGGAAUGAUCCCUAUAUAUCAUACAUCAGGCAAAAUUUACUCAGCUGAACAGCUAAAAAUGCACAACACAGCUCAGGAAAUCACAAGGUCUGCCCACCGUAUUGCCUAGUCUCAUACGCGUAUGGCCCAUUCUCCUGACCAACUCCAUCGCUGUAACACCAUUUCUUACGCGUAUGCUACGGUAUUUCAUUCCCCAUACGCGUUACCAUAAGAGAACCAAACUACGUUCAAAAACAUCCAUUCUUCCUAUCCAUAGCGUAUUGCCAGUGCCAUCACGCGUACCAGACCAAUCUUCAAUACGGUAUUGCCUAGUGCCAUACGGUAUGCAGAAACCAGACUCCAGAUCUGCUUAUGGCUUUUCUCUGUACGAGAUCUUAUCCAAUUCAACCAUUCACAGUCCAAUUUUUCCAAUAAUCGUUCAUAUACAUCUAACACGAACUCAAUAACCUAUUCGACUACCAAUUUCUAACACUAUUGCAUCUAAAUUCUACGAAUUUCCUUCAAUUUAAUCCAGAUUCGUUCAUCCCAAAGUUCACCAAUUUUCAGCAUAAUUAUUCCAAUCAGAGGUAAUCAUGCGUUUAUCACUACCAUGACAUAUAUAUCCCAUAAUACCCAUUAAUCGACGAUAAACCUUACCUUUAAUCGGCAAUCUCUGGAGCUUCAAGUUUUCCUUCCUUCAACCCUUGUUCUCUGGGUCUUUGCCCUUUCCACUUUUGACUGUCUCUUUUCCCUUUUCCGUGAAAAUAACCUCUUUUUACCAAAUGACUUUCUUACUGUUUCAACUUUUUUCCAUAAUAACAAUAAAAAUAAUCCAAUAAUAAUAAUCCAUAAUAUUUCCAAUAAUUAUUAUCAUAAUAAUAAAUUUCCAAUUAUUUAUAAUUAAUAAAUAAUUAUUAACUCAAUUUAAUAUUAUCUUAUUUUUAUCGGGUGUUACAUAUUACACAACCAUUUCAGAUCAACUUCACACACAAAAUUUUCACAAUACACAAAUACAACCCCACAUGACACACACGGACAGAGGCACACAUCAAUACACACACCUCACAUAAUACAUCACCCAAACACACACACACACAUUCACACACCACACACACACACACAACACACAUACACAUACACACAACACAUAUAUCACACACACACACACACACACAUCACACACACACACACACACACAUCACACACAGAACACCACACAGCACACAUAUCACACAAAAACACACCCAACACACACAUCAACACACCACACACAACAACACAUACACACACACACACAUCACACACAUAGACACACCACACACACACACACACACACACAUACAACAACAAAACACAUCAACACAUAACACACACACACACACCAACACACAAUAUCACCACAAUCAACACACAACACAUCAACACACAUCACACACACACACAUACACACAACACACACACAUCACACCACACAAAUCACACACACACAUCACAUCAACACCACAAUCACGCACACACACACUACACACAACACAUCAAACACGGCAUCACACACACACACACAACACACACCGUCACAUAUACACCACAUAUCACACACAAUACACAAUUUAUAUCACACAAACACAACACACGAUACGACACAUCACACACACAUCAUCACACACAGACACAACACACAUCACAACACACACACAAAGACACACACACCCAAACACAUCACACACACAUCAGACGCCAACUACACACACACACACACACUAUCACCACACACAUAUAUCACACAACAAACACAUCCACACAUCACACACAAUCACACACGCAUCACCACACACACCAAUAAGACACACCCACACACACAUCACCACAUCAAACACACAUCACACAACAAUUCUAAACACACAUCAACAUACACUACACACAAACACACACCACCUGACACACGCAUCACAUCACAACACAUAUCACCACAGAACACACCACCAGAGACACACACACACAUCACAUACACACAUUAAACAUACACACACCAUACACAUCACACACACAUACCAUAUCACACUCAAAACACGCACACACAAUACGACCACACACACACACAACACAAACCACAUCACACAUCACACACAACACAGGAGACGACACACCAAAUACAAUUCACAAAACAUCACACAAUAUCAAACACACACAUAACACAAAUAUUACGCACACACACACACACACAUUUUUUUAUAACAACACAUUACUCAACCACUACCCACAUCAACAUCACUUACAAUACAAUCACAUACACAAUCACUCAACUACACACCACACAUCACACACUAUUAAACACAAAUAUCACACACACCAUCACACCACAUAUAUCACACACACAUCACACACACACACACAUCACACACAACAUUAUCACACACACACACCACACAUUACACACACAUCAUGCGCACAGACACAUCACAAACAUCACAACACAUAAACACACACACAUAUCACCAUACACAACGCAGUCACACAUACACACAUAAUCACACACACACACAUCACACAUCACAUUUCUUUUUUUUUGGCAUCACAUCACACACACACAUCACAUACAUACAUCACACCCACAACACACACACACACACAUCACACCCACAACACACACACACACAUACAUACACACACACAUAUAUCACACACACACACACACACACAUCACACAUAUCACCCACACACAUAUCACACACAUAUCACACACACACACACAUAUCACACACAUAAGACACACCCACACACACAUCAAACACAUUCCACACACAUAUCACACACAUAUCUCACACACACACACAUAUCACACACAUAAGACACACCCACACACACAUCAAACACAUUCCACACACAUACACAGACAAAGACACAUCACACACACAUAGACACACACACACACACAUCACACACACACAAAUAUCACACACAUAUCACACACACACACACACAUCACACACACAUCACACACACACACAUCACACACAACACACACACGUAUCACACAUACACACACACAUCACACACACACAUCACAUCAUACACACACAUCACGCACACACACACUACACACACACACAUCAAACACGCGCAUCACACACACAUACACACAACACACACACGUAUCACAUAUACACACACAUAUCACACACAAAUACACACAUAUAUCAUAUCACACAAAUACAAACACACAGAAUACAGACACAUCACACACACAUCAUACUCACACACAGACACACACACACACAUCACACACACACACACAAAGACACACACACCCAAACACAUCACACACACAUCAGACGCACAGAUACACACACACACACCACACAUAUCACACACACACAUAUAUCACACACACAAACACAUCACACACAUCACACACACAUCACACACGCAUCACACACACACAUAAGACACACCCACACACACAUCACACACAUCAAACACACAUCACACACAUCAAACACACAUCACACAUACACAUACACACACACACACACACACCUGACACACGCAUCACAUACACACACACAUAUCACACACAGAGACACACACACACAGAGACACACACACACAUCACAUACACACAUAAACAUACACACACAUACACAUCACACACACAUACAUAUCACACUCAAAAACACGCACACACACAUACAGACACACACACACACACACACACAAACACACAUCACACAUCACACACACACAGAGACGCACACACAAAUACAUCACAAAAACAUCACACACAUAUCAAACACACACAUAUCACACAAAUAUUACGCACACACACACACACACACAUACACACACACAUACGUCACCCACAUACACACACAUCAUACAUCACAUACACAUACACAUCACAUACACAUCACUCACUCACACACACACAUCACACACAUAUAUACACACAUCACACAUAUCACACACACAUCACACACACAUAUAUCACACACACAUCACACACACACACACAUCACACACACACAUAUCACACACACACACACACACACACACAUUACACACACAUCAUGCGCACAGACACAUCACACACACACAUCACACACAUAACACACACACAUAUCACACAUACACACACGCAUCACACAUACACACAUAAAUCACACACACACACAUCACACAUCACACACAACACACACACGUAUCACACAUACAGACACACAUCACACACACACAUCACAUCAUACACACACGUCACGCACACACACACACACACACUAAACACGCGCAUCACACACACACACACAACACACACACGUAUCACAUAUACACACACAUAUCACACACAAAUACACACAAAUAUCAUAUCACACAAACACAAACACACAGAAUACAGACACAUCACACACACAUUAUACUCACACACACAUACACACACACACACAUCACACACACACACACAAAGACACACACACCCAAACACAUCACACACACAUCAGACGCACAGACACACACACACACACCACACAUAUCACACACACACAUAUAUCACACACACAAACACAUCACACAUAUCACAC
rnacentral:lncRNA from 1 species